CUUAGCAGAGAUGCUUUGGUGCCUUCGGGAACUCUGAGACAGGUGCUGCAUGGCUGUCGUCAGCUCGUGUUGUGAAAUGUUGGGUUAAGUCCCGCAACGAGCGCAACCCUUAUCCUUUGUUGCCAGCGGUCCGGCCGGGAACUCAAAGGAGACUGCCAGUGAUAAACUGGAGGAAGGUGGGGAUGACGUCAAGUCAUCAUGGCCCUUACGAGUAGGGCUACACACGUGCUACAAUGGCGCAUACAAAGAGAAGCGACCUCGCGAGAGCAAGCGGACCUCAUAAAGUGCGUCGUAGUCCGGAUUGGAGUCUGCAACUCGACUCCAUGAAGUCGGAAUCGCUAGUAAUCGUAGAUCAGAAUGCUACGGUGAAUACGUUCCCGGGCCUUGUACACACCGCCCGUCACACCAUGGGAGUGGGUUGCAAAAGAAGUAGGUAGCUUAACCUUCGGGAGGGCGCUUACCACUUUGUGAUUCAUGACUGGGGUGAAGUCGUAACAAGGUAGGCGUAGACGU
rnacentral:rRNA from 1 species